rnacentral:rRNA from 1 species
GAUGAACGCUGACAGAAUGCUUAACACAUCAGCAAUUGAUUGGUGGCGGACGGGUGAGUAACGCGUAAAGAACUUGCCUCCCAGGUAGGGACAACAUUUGGAAACGAAUGCUAAUACCUAAUCCUGUGAGAGAGCUUUGCGUCCCAUUAGCUAGUUGGAGAGGUAACGGCUCACCAAGGCGAUGAUGGGUAGCCGGCCUGAGAGGGUGAUCGGCCACAAGGGGACUGAGACACGGCCAGUACGCCUACGGGAGGCAGCAGUGGGGAAGAUUGGAAAAUGGACCAAAGUCUGAUCCAGGAAUUCUGUGUGCAAGAUGAAGUUUUCGGAAUGUAAAGGGCUUUCAGUUGGGAAGCGGUACCAACAGAAGAAGUGACGGCUAAAUACGUGCCAGCCGCCGCGGUAAUUC